AUCAGAGAUGAAGAGGAAUCUGGUUUAUAGCAUGAGUGUUUCUGAGUUUCAUCAGCUUAUCAAGAAGAUUGAAGCGGUUCAUAGCAGUAUACGUAAUGAUAUUGAAUAUUCGCAUUUGUCACCUGAAGCUUGUAACAUAUGGUUUAACAAGGAGAUAGAUAGGUAAUAAUGGUUUGAAAGGUUUGUAGAUUUUGCCAGAGGAGAAGUUUUUUUUUUUUUUACUGAUGGGUUGUGAUUGUUGUUGGUGCAGGAAGUUACCGUUUCAAGAGAAACAUGUUUUGCAACAAGGUUCUAUUCUGGGUAACUUGGAAAAGAUUGGGGGAAUCUAACAUGAUAUCAGAGCCAGCUGGUCCUAAAUACUAUAAACUCCUGAUUAAAAUUAAAAUUAAAAAUUAACCCUUCUGACCGGGUAUAAAGGUCGUGAUUAACCCUUCCAACCGGGUAUAAAGGUUGUGUUAAACUCGCUCGACCGAGUAUAAAUGUCCUAAAGUUUCGAGAUUUCUGGCCGAUAAGAGCCAUCAUCUCGAGGAGGGGUAUUAGGGAUAUAUAUCCCAUAUUGGGAAUUCUAAAAGACAUUAAGUAAUAUAUAAAGGGUUAGGGUCAAUCCACUAAUCACCAAUUGGUUUUAAGUUGGAAGCCCAAACCCGAAUCUAACAUCUAUAUUAAUUUAGAAAAAUUAUGUUUGUUCAGUCACUAUAUAAAUUAUGUAUAUUGAAUAUGUAUAUUGUGUGUUUAUUAUAAUGAGAGUAUAAUAAUAUAUUUUUCAAAAAAAAUAGCUUUCAAAAAAAUAAUUUUUUUUUUGCAGACUUAAAUACGCGACAAUAUUGUAAGUGGCAGAGUGACCUUGAUGACAAAGAUAUAAGUUGAUUACAUUUUACUCUCUAAAUCAUUGAAUAUUUUAGGGAUCCAAAAUAUUAGGAGGUAUGGGAACAUAUUUGGGGUUACUAGAGAGCUUGGGUGGCUCGAAAACACAAGUUUUUGGGUUUGUUCAAGAUCGUUUGAGUAACAGAGUAAAUGGAUGGACUUUCAAAUUCUUUACGAAAGGAGGCAAGGAGGUGAUCAUCAAGACAGUGGUCACAGCUCUACCUAAUCAUGUUAUGUCAUGCUACCGUCUCCCUAAGACAGUAACGAAGAAACUAACAAGUUCGACGGCACAAUUCUGGUGGAGCUCGGGAGGAAACACAAGAGGGCUUCAUUAGAAAUCAUGGGAUAAGAUAUGUCAUUCUAAAGAAGAGGGAGGAUUGGGUUUCAAGGAUCUCACGGAUUUUAACACCGCCAUGUUGGGAAAACAAUUGUGGUGUCUGAUUGAGAAGCCUCAUACUUUAUUUUCACGAGUGUUCAAAGGCCGGUAUUUUCGGAAUGCAUCACCUCUGGACCGAUCCGUUCGUAUUUGCCGUCUUAUGGAUGGCGCAGUAUCGUAUCUGCUAGAUCUCUGGUUAGCAAAUGACUAAUCUAAAGGGUGGGAUCAGGAUCAUCUAUCUCAGUAUGGAACGAUCCUUGGCUCUCAACCACACGCUCGAGACCAGAAAACAACAAUCAACUUACUAGUAGCCUUAACCCAGACCUUACUGUGGAUUAUUUUAUCGAUCCUACUUCACGGACGUAGAAUACUCAAGCAAUCCGAUCCAUGGUUGACGCACAAGAUGCGAAGAUUAUAGAGAGUAUACCAUUGAGUCGGACUCAUAUGGUUGACAGAGAUGGAUGGCAUUUCACUAAUAAUGGCAGGUAUACAGUGAAAUCUGGUUACCAGGUAGAGCGGGUUUACCCGGAUGGGGAGGAAUCACUACCGUUACAUGGUCCAAAUGUCACACAUCUUAAGGCUUUUUCCUGGAAAAUCAGAUGCCCACCGAAGAUAAAACACUUUUUGUGGUAGAUAGUUUCGGGUUGUAUUUCGAUAAUGAAAAAUUUGAGGAUUAGAGGGAUACAAGGGGAUACACAAUGUGCAAGAUGUGGAGCGACCGAAGAAUCAAUAAAUCAUGUGUUUUUUGAAUGUCCACCGGCAGUCCAAGUAUGGGCUCUAUCAAGGAUUCCCUCAAAUCCAGAAAACAUUCCUACUCAGUCGGUCUACACAAACAUGGAUUAUUUGUAUUGGAGGGUAGUUCCGCAGAUGGAAGACCACCAUUUUGCUUGGAUUCUAUGGUAUAUUUGGAAGGCCAGGAAUAACAAGGUUUUUAGCAACAUAGAUAUUGAUCCAAGAGAUUCUUUAAAAUUGGCAGAAACUGAAUCGUUGAUUUGGAGAGAAGCCCAAGCAUCGAUAACUGAGAGGGUUAUACAAACUAGGGAGGUGGAGUUACAAGUCUUACCUAAUAUACCAGGGAGAUGGUGUUUCACGGAUGGGUCAUGGAAGGAGAAUGAUAUUCUUUCCGGACAAGGAUGGUAUAGUACUCUUGAAGGUUUUGCAGGAUUAAUGGGAGCAAGAAACACAAGGGCAAGUUUAACACCACUUCACUCGGAAGUCAAAGCCCUUAUCUGGACAAUGGAAUGCAUGAAGAACUUAAGGCAGUAUCAGGUUACGUUUGCAACGGAUUGCUCUCAACUGGUGAAGAUGGUUUCGGAACCAGAAGAAUGGCCGGCAUUUGCAAGUUAUUUGGAAGACAUCAAGAUACUGAAUGAAAUUUUCAAUCACUCAGAGCUCAUUCAUAUACCCCGGACGCUUAAUACAAGGGCGGACAGUUUUGCACGGAGUGCUAGGCAGCAACCGUCGUUUGUCGUUCAUAUGGAUGCCGAGUUACCGGUGUGGUUUGCAGAGUCUUAGUUGAGUCUGUGUUUGCUGUUGGGUUUUCUGUUUGAAAAAAAAAAAAAAAAAAUCAUCGAAUAUUUAUACAGUUCGCAGGUUGGAAUGAAGAAUGCUUACCGUUGCAAAUGGUAUAAGUAGCAGCGGGAUUUCGCAUGCAAAGGUUAGCUGCAAACACAGCAAAAGAAGAACUCAGAAAUGAUAAUCUCACUUCUACAGUUCUACUACACAUGAUGAAGGCCCGAGCGGGAAGAACCGAACAGUGGCCAUGUACAUAAAAAAGAAGCAAGACCUUCACAUCAAGCAUGGUUCAAGAGAAGACUCAUUCAUUUAAAAAAAAUAAAUGGGCUGAGAAAGCCUUAAUGGGUAGAAAAUGAAGCCCACCUUGGGUAGAAAACCUCCUCGUCUCUCUCUAUCUCGAGCUCGAGCUGAGCAAAAGCUCGCUGAGAAUGGCGGCGAGAAGUGGCAGUCGAUGCAAUUUCUGGCUUCCGAAGAAGAAAAGAUCAUGCGCCAAUACUCGAAUCGAGAGCUCCCUGUAAGUUUAUGUUACUCUGAAGUGAAAAGUUUCGUUCUUUUCUUCUAAUUCUCUGAAAGUAAUCAAUCAAACAGGUUUUGUGGAAACCAUAGCCAGAGAUCGGAUGGUCAGUGGCUUCCAUGCCCUAUUGAUCCUUCUCAGUGAGUUCAGUUUACUUUCCUUAUAAAAUAUAUUUUUGAUUUUUCUGCUAUUGUAUCAACGGUUUGAUUGGGUAUGUUAUCAGCUCUGUGUUGCAGGAGAAUCUCGAAAGUCAUGUAAAGAGAUGUCCUUUGUUGAAACAGAACGUUGCAUUGUCCGGUCAAGCGUUUUAUCAAAAGGGUAUUAAUGCUGGAAACGAAGAAGAGGAAGAAAAGAUGGGUUCUUGUUACUCUGUUGUUACAUCAGAGAUGAAGAGGAAUCUGGUUUAUAGCAUGAGUGUUUCUGAGUUUCAUCAGCUUAUCAAGAAGAUUGAAGCGGUUCAUAGCAGUAUACGUAAUGAUAUUGAAUAUUCGCAUUUGUCACCUGAAGCUUGUAACAUAUGGUUUAACAAGGAGAUAGAUAGGUAAUAAUGGUUUGAAAGGUUUGUAGAUUUUGCCAGAGGAGAAGUUU
rnacentral:lncRNA from 1 species